rnacentral:rRNA from 1 species
CCUACGGGAGGCAGCAGUAGGGAAUCUUUCACAAUGGGCGAAAGCCUGAUGGAGCAACGCCGCGUGCAGGAUGAAGGCCUUCGGGUUGUAAACUGCUGUUAUAAGAGAGAAAUAUGAUGGUAACUUAUGAAUAAGGAUCGGCUAACUACGUGCCAGCAGCCGCGGUCAUACGUAGGAUACGAGCAUUAUCCGGAGUGACUGGGUGUAAAGAGUUGCGUAGGUGGCAUAAUAAGUAGCUAGUGAAAUCUGGUGGCUCAACCAUUCAGACUAUUAGCUAAACUGUUAAGCUCGAGACCGUUAGGGGUAACUGGAAUUUCUAGUGUAGGAGUGAAAUCCGUAGAUAUUAGAAGGAACACCAAUAGCGUAGGCAGGUUGCUGGGACGGUUCUGACACUAAGGCACGAAAGCGUAGGGAGCAAACGGGAUUAGAUACCCCUGUAGUC